UCGUUAGCUCAGUUGGUAGAGCAGUUGGCUUUUAACCAAUUGGUCGAUGGUUCGAAUCCAUCACGA
rnacentral:tRNA from 1 species